rnacentral:rRNA from 1 species
GAUGAACGCUGGCGGCGUGCUUAACACAUGCAAGUCGAACGAAGCACCUCUCCCGAAGAUUGACACAGCUUGCUGUAGAUUGAUUCAUUUGAGGUGACUGAGUGGCGGACGGGUGAGUAACGCGUGGGUAACCUGCCUCAUAGAGGGGGACAACAGUUGGAAACGGCUGCUAAUACCGCAUAGUAAGAAGAAUUCGCAUGUUUUCUUCUUGAAAGAUUUAUCGCUAUGAGAUGGACCCGCGUCUGAUUAGCUAGUUGGUAAGGUAACGGCUUACCAAGGCGACGAUCAGUAGCCGGCUUGAGAGAGUGAGCGGCCACAUUGGGACUGAGACACGGCCCAAACUCCUACGGGAGGCAGCAGUGGGGAAUAUUGCACAAUGGGGGAAACCCUGAUGCAGCGACGCCGCGUGAGUGAAGAAGUAUUUCGGUAUGUAAAGCUCUAUCAGCAGGGAAGAUAAUGACGGUACCUGACGAAGAAGCCCCGGCUAACUACGUG